AGUGAACGCUGGCGGCAGGCCUAAUACAUGCAAGUCGAACGGCAGCACAGUGGAGCUUGCUCCAUGGGUGGCGAGUGGCGGACGGGUGAGGAAUACAUGGGAAUCUGCCCAGUCGUGGGGGAUAACGUAGGGAAACUUACGCUAAUACCGCAUGCGCCCUUCGGGGGAAAGCCGGGGACCGUAAGGCCUGGCGCGAUUGGAUGAGCCCAUGUCGGAUUAGCUAGUUGGCGGGGUAACGGCCCACCAAGGCGACGAUCCGUAGCUGGUCUGAGAGGAUGAUCAGCCACACUGGAACUGAGACACGGUCCAGACUCCUACGGGAGGCAGCAGUAGGGAAUAUUGGACAAUGGGCGCAAGCCUGAUCCAGCCAUGCCGCGUGAGUGAAGAAGGCCCUCGGGUUGUAAAGCUCUUUUGUCCGGAAAGAAAAGCACUGGGUUAAUACCCCGGUGUCCUGACGGUACCGGAAGAAUAAGCACCGGCUAACUUCG
rnacentral:rRNA from 1 species